UACGAAGGGGGGCUAGCGUUGCUCGGAAUCACUGGGCGUAAAGGGUGUGUAGGCGGGUCUUUAAGUCAGGGGUGAAAUCCUGGAGCUCAACUCCAGAACUGCCUUUGAUACUGAAGAUCUUGAGUUCGGGAGAGGUGAGUGGAACUGCGAGUGUAGAGGUGAAAUUCGUAGAUAUUCGCAAGAACACCAGUGGCGAAGGCGGCUCACUGGCCCGAUACUGACGCUGAGGCACGAAAGCGUGGGGAGCAAACAGG
rnacentral:rRNA from 1 species